rnacentral:piRNA from 1 species
UGGAAAAGAGUUGCCAGAUAAAAUACC